rnacentral:rRNA from 1 species
GACGAACGCUGGCGGCGUGCUUAACACAUGCAAGUCGAGCGGAAAGGCCCUUCGGGGUACUCGAGCGGCGAACGGGUGAGUAACACGUGAGUAACCUGCCCCAGACUUUGGGAUAACCCUCGGAAACGGGGGCUAAUACCGGAUACGACACAGCUUCGCAUGGGGUCUGUGUGGAAAGUUUUUCGGUUUGGGAUGGGCUCGCGGCCUAUCAGCUUGUUGGUGGGGUGAUGGCCUACCAAGGCGACGACGGGUAGCCGGCCUGAGAGGGCGACCGGCCACACUGGGACUGAGACACGGCCCAGACUCCUACGGGAGGCAGCAGUGGGGAAUAUUGCACAAUGGGCGGAAGCCUGAUGCAGCGACGCCGCGUGAGGGAUGACGGCCUUCGGGUUGUAAACCUAUUUCAGCAGGGACGAAGCGUAAGUGACGGUACCUGCAGAAGAAGCGCCGGCCAACUACGU